AACCCUGAAAGUCAGACUGCAAAUCUGCGUAUGGCUCUUUGCCCGGGGUUU
rnacentral:tRNA from 1 species